CGCUGGCGGCGUGCCUAAUACAUGCAAGUCGAGCGGAAUGAUGAAGAAGCUUGCUUCUUCUGAUUUUAGCGGCGGACGGGUGAGUAACACGUGGGCAAUCUACCUUGUAGAUUGGGAUAACUCCGGGAAACCGGGGCUAAUACCGAAUAAUCCAUUUUGCUUCAUGGCGAGAUGUUGAAAGACGGUUUCGGCUGUCACUACAAGAUGGGCCCGCGGCGCAUUAGCUAGUUGGUAGGGUAAUGGCCUACCAAGGCGACGAUGCGUAGCCGACCUGAGAGGGUGAUCGGCCACACUGGGACUGAGACACGGCCCAGACUCCUACGGGAGGCAGCAGUAGGGAAUCUUCCACAAUGGACGAAAGUCUGAUGGAGCAACGCCGCGUGAGUGAAGAAGGUUUUCGGAUCGUAAAACUCUGUUGUAAGGGAAGAACACGUACGAGAGUAACUGCUCGUACCUUGACGGUACCUUAUUAGAAAGCCACGGCUAACUACGUG
rnacentral:rRNA from 1 species